rnacentral:rRNA from 1 species
GAUGAACGCUGGCGGCGUGCCUAAUACAUGCAAGUCGAGCGAACGGACGAGAAGCUUGCUUCUCUGAUGUUAGCGGCGGACGGGUGAGUAACACGUGGAUAACCUACCUAUAAGACUGGGAUAACUUCGGUAAACCGGAGCUAAUACCGGAUAAUAUUUUGAACCGCAUGGUUCAAAAGUGAAAGACGGUCUUGCUGUCACUUAUAGAUGGAUCCGCGCUGCAUUAGCUAGUUGGUAAGGUAAAGGCUUACCAAGGCAACGAUGCAUAGCCGACCUGAGAGGGUGAUCAGCCACACUGGAACUGAGACACGGUCCAGACUCCUACGGGAGGCAGCAGUAGGGAAUCUUCCGCAAUGGGCGAAAGCCUGACGGAGCAACGCCGCGUGAGUGAUGAAGGUCUUCGGAUCGUAAAACUCUGUUAUUAGGGACGAACAUAUGUGUAAGUAACUGUGCACCUCUUGACGGUACCUAAUCAGAAAGCCACGGCUAACUACGUG